ACCUCCCAGCAGUUUGUCCCGUCAAAGCCCAAACUUGUUUACUUUUAUUUGUUUGUUUAUUUUGCAGGACCUCCUGGGGCUAGACGUGUUGUGUUACCUUCCACCACACCCACCACGCCUGGGGUUGAGGCCUACAGCAUUGGGUCCAGCCAACAAAAAAAGAAGCCACUGAAACCAUGCACUAUGAACUCCUUCUCCUUUUUAAAUUCUUUCUCUUUGUUAUUUGUCACAACAACCAAAAGGAACUUAACUAAUUGCCUGGGAUCUAGUUAAUUCUGCAAAGAACUGCAAGAUGGUGGAAGGUGCAAAGAGAGAAGAGACUCCCACAAGUUGUCCUCCGUUCCCCACAUAAGCUCUGUAGUGUGGUGGUAUGUGCACCCACAUAUAAACAAACAAAAUAAAGAGUAUAUGUAAAAACA